CGUCUUCUCAAAAAGAUAUAGUGAUAUCUAAGAAGAAGAAGAAGAAGGCUAAGAUAAUGAAAUCAUCACAAUCCCCAAUCACUUGCUUCUUUUUUAAUACCUCAGACACAGCCAUCACUACCUAAUACACAGCCAUCACUACCUUAUACACGACUAUCACCGCCUAAGACACAUCCUUUGCCACCCCAAUCACCAUUGGUCACACAAUUACCACGAACUCAGCCGCAAGUUGCUAGCAGUCGAUCACCGAGAUCUGAGGUUGAUUCUUCUAGACUGAGUACAGAUAUAGCUGGCUUGUCUAAUCAAACAUAUGAUGCCGGGUCUAGAUUAAGUGAUGGUCGCCUAGUGAUUCGACCUGAGGGUAAUGAGGAGUUUCUUCCUUCAGUUGAAUCAGUGUCAAUCUUAUCUAGAAUAAUCCAUUCAAAGUAUGAGAGUGGAUGGCCUGCAUUUAGUAAAGUCCCAGAAAAUGUUAAAAAUUUAUGGUUUAAUGAAUUCAAAGUGAGCUAAUUUACUAAUUCUUUACAACUUAUUGAUACAAAUAUUUUAUUUUGUAGCACUUGACAUUUUCAUAUUUUUAUAUGUAGCUAAGAUGUGCUUGGGACCCAACUUUAGAUGGUGAUGUUCAUAAAAUAUGGAAGAAGAAAUGUAGUGGGGUAAUUCGCUCCUCUUUAAGGGACAUUCGAAUUGGUAAAACAAAAGGUGAAUGGUUAAUGCCUGGACCUCAAAAGGAGCUUGAAAAAUAUUGGGAAAGUGAUGAAUUUAAAGCCAAAUCUAAGAAAAAUAAAAAAAAUUGAGCAGCUAACAUAGGAGGAUGUGUGCAUAGAGGGGGACGAAUAACAUUUGCAGAGCAUAGAAGAAGAAUGUUGAAUUGGGAAGGCCUUGUGAAUAUCCUGAGGUUUUCAAGAAAAUUCAACAUGAUGAGGAAAAAGGUUGGGUUGGAAAGAGAGCUGCUGACACUUAUAAUGAGUUUGAGCGAUUAAAAGAAUGUCAAGAAUCCGAUGCUAGUAUUUCCAAUUCUGCUUUAUGGCUUCAGGUGGUUGGGGGGGGAAAAUAAGAGGGGUCGAGUUUAUGGGCUUGGAACAUAGGCAGGGCUUCUUAAUUCUAAUGGAACUCAAUGUGCCAAUACAUCUGGUGAGAUUGCACUCUUAAAGAAACAACUAGAAGAACAGAAAAAAUUUUAUGAGGAUAGAUUUGAAAAGGUUGUUGAAUCUUUGCAAGUAAGGGAGGAAGAAUUUCGAGCUAGGGAAGAAAGAAGGGAGGAAGAAUUUUGUGCUAGGGAAGAAAGAAUGGAUCAAAAAUGGGCAAUGAUUAUGGCACGGAUAAGCAAAUUUAAAAAGGUGGUCCUUCUAAAACCAAUGAUGGGAGGGUUGUGGUGAUUUGGAGAAUGACUCACAAGAAGAUGGUUCUGAUGAUGAAGAGGAUGAUGAGGAUG